rnacentral:rRNA from 1 species
AACGAACGCUGGCGGCAGGCUUAACACAUGCAAGUCGAGCGCCCCGCAAGGGGAGCGGCAGACGGGGGAGUAACGCGUGGGAAUCUACCCAUCUCUACGGAAUAACGCAUGGAAACGUGUGCUAAUACCGUAUACGUCCUUCGGGAGAAAGAUUUAUCGGAGAUGGAUGAGCCCGCGUUGGAUUAGGUAGUUGGGGGGGUAAAGGCCUACCAAGGCGACGAUCCAUAGCUGGUCUGAGAGGAUGAUCAGCCACACUGGGACUGAGACACGGCCCAGACUCCUACGGGAGGCAGCAGUGGGGAAUAUUGGACAAUGGGCGCAAGCCUGAUCCAGCCAUGCCGCGUGAGUGAUGAAGGCCCUAGGGUUGUAAAGCUCUUUCACCGGUGAAGAUAAUGACGGUAACCGGAGAAGAAGCCCCGGCUAACUUCGUGCCAGCAGCCGCCGUAACAC